rnacentral:rRNA from 1 species
GGAAAGAGCCCAGCACUGAAUCCCGCGGUUGUCACGGCCGCGGGAGAUGUGGUGUUCGGGAGGUUCCGCUUUCUCGUCGUCGCGUCUCCUGUCCAAGUUCGUCUUGAACGGGGCCGUUUUCCCGAAGAGGGUGCCAGGCCCGUAGCGACGGAGGGCGGCGGCGAGAGGGACUCUCCUCAGAGUCGGGUUGCUUGAGAGUGCAGCCCUAAGUGGGUGGUAAACUCCAUCUAAGGCUAAAUAUUACCGCGAGACCGAUAGCGAACAAGUACCG